AUUGCUGUGUGUGUAUGCGUUUCUGUUUCCACGUGAAUUUUUUGUUACAACCGCCGGUUAUGUUUUUAUAAUAUUUGCAGUAUAAGUGAUGUUCUAAAACAGUGCUGUGCAUGGGUGCCCAUUGCAGGGAUGACGGGGAAGGAUGGGAAGGCGGAGGCUAGAGGUAGGGACGGUAUCAUAAAGAAAGGAUUUAUGACAAAGAGAUCUCAAAACAAGAAGAGAUUCACUCCGAUCAAUUAUAAGCAGCGAUGGUUUGUCCUUACUCGUCAUCAUCUAAUAUACUAUGACAGCGACGGAGAGCGACGUAAGGAGCGCGGCCGUAUCGCGGUCGAGAGCGUCCACGUGGUGGAGACGGCACAACUCGACGCGCCUGGAGCUGAGGCGGGCAGUGCAGGGGGUGGAGGAGGCGUACCCCCGGGGAUGCCCUUCCAGGUCGGGUACAGGGAAGCUGGCCAAGAGUAUACCCUAUAUCUACUCGCUGCCAAGGAUCAGGACAGGGCGGAUUGGAUAGAAACCCUCAGAGCAGUUUGCGGUGAUAAUCCGGGACUGAGUGGUCGCUACCAUUCCGGUCUCUGGAGUGGUAAACGUUGGUCCUGCUGCCGCUUGUCAACCCGGUCAGCCGAGGGCUGCGAUACCUGCAGUUUGUGGACGACCAGACCACCUAUUGCCGUAACCGCGUCCGCGGCAGUUGUCGCUCCUCCUUCGGAACGGCAGAACGUGAAUCCCGCACCCGCUACCACCGAGGCCAACAACAACCCCGUCAACGUCACCCAGAACCGAUACGCCUCCGGAACUCCGUCCACUCCAAUCAUGCCGAAUGGCGGUCCGGGGACACCGUCCUCCAAGGCGAAGGAGAAACUCAUGAUGCGGACGAAAGUCGUGGUCGCGCUCUACCCUUUCCGAGCGAUCGAGGGAGGUGACCUGUCCCUCGAAAAGGGCGCGGAAUACGAAGUGUUGGAUGAUUCUCAAGAGCACUGGUGGAAAGUCAAAGACGAACAUGGAUCUGUCGGCUAUAUCCCGAGCAAUUAUGUGAAGGAAAAAGAACUUCUGGGUCUCCAAAAAUAUGAGUGGUACGUGGGUGACAUGUCCCGUCAGCGUGCCGAGUCUUUGCUCAAACAAGAAGAUAAGGAGGGCUGCUUUGUAGUACGCAACUCUUCAACAAAAGGACUGUACACACUGUCCUUGUAUACAAAAGUUCCACAUCCUCACGUCAAGCAUUACCACAUCAAACAAAAUUCCAGAGGGGAGUUUUAUCUCUCCGAAAAACACUGCUGCAACUCGAUUCCUGACCUUGUAAACUACCACCGACAUAACAGCGGUGGUCUUGCGAGUAGACUGAAAACAAGCCCCUGUGAUCGACCCGUUCCACCAACUGCUGGACUUAGCCACGAUAAGUGGGAAAUAGAUCACACGGAACUACAUUUAUUCGAGGAGUUGGGGUCUGGUCAGUUCGGCGUUGUGCAAAGAGGGAAAUGGCGUGGUUCGAUCGAUGUGGCUGUGAAAAUGAUGAAGGAGGGUACCAUGUCUGAAGACGAUUUCAUUGAGGAAGCUAAGGUCAUGACUAAACUACAGCAUCAAAAUCUGGUCCAAUUGUACGGCGUCUGUAGUAAGCAUAGACCAAUUUACAUCGUGACGGAAUAUAUGCGGCACGGUUCUCUUCUCAACUACCUUCGCCGUAACGAAACUUCUUUGGGAGCUAAUGUUGGCUUGUUGCUCGAUAUGUGCAUACAGGUCUGCAAAGGGAUGGCCUACCUGGAAAGGCAUAAUUACAUCCAUAGAGAUCUGGCUGCUCGUAACUGUCUUGUUGGAUCCGAACAUGUUGUCAAAGUUGCAGAUUUCGGCCUUGCUAGGUAUGUCCUUGACGAUCAAUACACAAGCAGCGGUGGCACCAAAUUCCCGAUAAAAUGGGCACCCCCCGAAGUUCUGAAUUAUACUCGCUUCAGUUCAAAAUCUGACGUAUGGGCGUACGGCGUAUUAAUGUGGGAAGUUUUUACCUGCGGUAAAAUGCCAUACGGUCGUCUAAAGAAUACCGAGGUUGUUGAACGCGUUCAACGUGGAAUCGUCUUAGAAAAGCCCAAAGCUUGCUUCAAGGAAGUUUAUGAUGUAAUGAGGAAUUGCUGGUCGCACUGUCCGGAUGCUCGACCUUCCUUCCGACUUCUGAAGGAACAGCUGAUCAACGUUUCUCAGGGCUUGCUCAAUGAUUGACUCAACCUUUUGCGGUGUAUGCGCCUGUCCUCGCCAUCAAACCAGUCUAUCCUGACCCCAAAAUCUCCAUCGCUUGGCCGAUCCCCAUCCAUAUUGCCUUCGUUAAACACUUCAUACAAUUCAGCAACGCUACCCGCUUCGCACAAAAUACGCGGACCAGCCUCGCUUCCUUCUUCAGCUGGCUCCGUUGUUCCUUUAUCGUCGUCGUCCCCAAAACUUAAGAGAGGAGGUUCAUCCUCGCCAAGUACACCUGGUCAUCUGGCUAGUCAGCCAUCAUCUAGUUCAUCAGACGUUUGCGAUAUAUGCAGUUCCUACGGUCACCCGUGGAUCGAAAUAUGCAAGGCUAUGCGUGCUACUAGGGGCAAAUGAGUAUAUUUAUUGUUUUGACCUAUUAUCUUAUGCUCACUCUCUGGGAAGAAAAUUGUAGCAUAGAUCUGUCUGAUUAUGCGGAAGUCGUGAACAAGUUUUGUUCGCUUACAGCCGAAUCGAGAACUUUGAUCCUUGCGCAAACGAAGAGCGUCUUUUUGUUUCAGUCCGGACGAGCGUUUCCACACCCUCCAUACGCAAACUCCAAUUCCAAAUACUUCCCAUUUUUGAAUCAUCAAAACGGCUCAGGCACCGCCGAUAUUAGGUACUCCGAGGAUGUCUGACGUUCCACGAACGAAGUCUGCAGCCACGCGGAAUUUCCAGAGGACUCACCAUUGCUGAAAUAAAAACGUGCCACUCAGUGACGAGCAUAUUCUUACCCUCGACAAAAAUUGUAUUUACGUCCGCUAAUCAUCAAUUCGAGAAUAGAUUAUCGUAGAUGUAUAGUGAAUAAUUGUUAGCAUGCAUAGAAAUGAGUCAUUAAACUAUCUUCAUGCGUUGUACUUGUUAAAAUUCGAAUCACUGAGAGGACGGUGAUAUAUUAAAACAAUUGUACAUCUUGUAUAUGAUAUUGUAACAAUUUUUAUGCAAGAGUGAAUAUUCUAACAGAGUGAUUUACGGAUGUAUCCUACGCUGCAUAUUUGAGCAAUAAAUAGAA
rnacentral:misc_RNA from 1 species